GACAAUAUUCCCCAAAGACAAAUACAAGACAGAAAAUGAAGAGAACUCCAAAGAACUUGAAGGAUUUUAUUGUUUCAAAAUGCCAUCCUUGCAGAGUUAAAGCAAAAGUAUCAAAAAAUACGCAGUGCCAAGGACAAACAAGUGGCUUCAAAAAUGCUCAGAGGCAACAUCCUGAGAAAGUAUGGCCUGGAUAACGCCGCACACAGAGAAUUUGGCUUUUCAGCAAAAGCAAUGAGGGCAAAUGAAAACAGGCCAACAAGUAUGCAAUACUCCAGGAAAAAGCAGUGUAACAUAAUUACUACAGCCACAGAAGAGAAAAUUACUAGAUUAUAUGAACGUGAUGUCAACAUUAGAGCAGCAACAGGGGAAAAAGGACACACAAGAAAAAAAGCAGAAGCGCUUCUUGAAUGGCACAAUUCAGAACCUUUAUCAGAAUUUUAAGAGGGAAUAUUCAGAGAUUAAAAUGUCCUGCUAUGAAUUCUGCAAAAGAUGUCCUUUUUGGGUUGUCAAGCCAACAGUCCAGGAUAGGGACACAUGCUUCUGCAAAACCCACGCCAACCUCCAGUUCAUGGGGGACAAACUACAGUAUCACAAAGUGAUCAGCUGCAGCAACAAUGAGAACCUAGUUGAGUCUUUGUGCUGUGAGAACCUGAAGAAAGAGUGCAUGUACACAGAGUGCUCUCUUUGCCAAGCAAAAGAGCUUAACAUCUGACUUUGAUGCUGGUGAGCAGACAUGGUGGUUUGAGUGGAAAAACAAAGCUGAAGAGAGAGAAAAUGAAAAACAGAGGGAAACAUGGAGAAGUUCACUGUACAUUUGACAGUUAAAGAAAAUUUUUAGCAUUGAAAUGUGAUACACAAUGAGGCAUGCUGCAGACACCUCCGAGCGGUCGGGUAGGCUGUUUUGGAGUGUUUAUCCGACUGGAUGUAACGGCUGUCGUCGGAAGAAGACCAAGGUGCAGCGGAGUUAGUGUUCAUCAUAAAAGGUUUUAAUGAUCAACGAACACUAUACAAAAGAAAACAAAAAACGACUAGCAACAGUUCUGUUAGGAACACACUAAACAGAAAACAAUUACCCACAAAACCCAAAGGAAAAACAUGCUCCUUCUGUGGGACUCCCAAUCAGCAACAACGAGCUUCAGCUGUGCCUG
rnacentral:lncRNA from 1 species